AGUUAAGAUUUUUUAUCGUUUACAUCGGUCGCAAACACGUAUUAAAAUUUCAAAAUUCUAUAGAUUGCUAUUCGAUAGCGAUAAAAUGAUUGCUCGGAACGUGUGUCAUAAUUCAUAUAUCUCCGAAAUAGUGAAUUCUCAUUUGGAACCAUGUAAGUUUUUUACGCAGUACACGGCAAUAAUAAUAUACUUGGACGUAUAAUUCGUACAUUGAAUGUCGAUUCAUAUCAUUAUUGAACAAUACGGGAACUUAAAUGCCAUUUGUUGAUAGAAUACAUCACUUUAAAAUAUUUAUGGACUAUUUAAUUGUUUUCAAUUAGUUUAAAUGAACGCCUGGAUUUUCUUAUUCCUCGUUCUAAUUCGAGCAAUCUUUUUCGAUUAAGCCUUAAUAUCUACCAAAAAAUACUCGGUGAAACAAACUUCAGUCUAAAUAAUUACAUGAUAUUACUAUUAUUAUAUCUUUUUUUUUUUACACCAGACUUAAUCCAGAAUCUUGUUUCUUGUACGUCAUAUACAAAGACCAUUGCUUACGUGCACAUAUAAAUAAAUGGACAUUUGUAUACAACUAUCUAUAUAUAAUUCAGGUUUACCUACUUAAAAUGUACACCGUCUCGACCUUCCUCUUGCACGCGGGUCCACUGCACUCAAAAAAACGCGUUGCACGGACACGCUGUCGCCAGCACAGUGGUCGAACCAAGGGAACUAUGAUCUCAUACAUUUAAAUGAAAACAGUUGUCUGAAGUAAAAGAAACACGAAUUCUCGGCGACUUAUCGGUCACAAGACUUUAGGGUCAGACACAAAUCGAAAUAUUUGAAGCAGCAAAAUUUUGUACCAACACACAACUCUUCUAAACGGUCCAUAUUUUGUGAUGAAUAUGAGCGUCUUGCAAGACUCGAAACUAUUUUGACACAAUUAUGCCCAUGCAAGACGUCUGCAGUGAUGAUUUUUUCGACGUCUACACUGUUGGUAUGGCACGUGAACUUGUUUCCAUAUUUUCAUCAUCAAAUAUGUCUUGCGAUCAGCAAAAUGAACCAUUCCGGAAGUGAUAUUACUCAUUUUUUGAAAAACCCUAUACCGAAAAUACCCUAUGGGAUAUUUCCAUCAGCUAAAUUAUCAUCAGAAAAAGCACCUGCAGUAGUAAUCUUAACAUGUAACUUACGCGUUCGAGUAAAACAUAAUCGCCCAUUUAACUUGUUCCAGCAAACGCUGCCUAAGAUACUGCAGUAUUGGACCAUAAGAUAACGAUUCUCAAUUGAGAAUCAAUGCAAGAAUAUUCAGUUUCGUCCAUUCGAUCGAAUCGAGGCAGAAAUGUCUAGUAUCAUACAAUAAGCCUAUUGUGGAUCUUGCAACAUUGAUGAAACUGCAUGUAUCAGACAGCGUUAUUAUAUCGUUCAAGAUUGAAACGAUGAAAAUUUUCUUAUUCAAAUAACGAAUGAAAAGUGAGAAUAUGAAAAAUAUUUUUUAAGAGCCGAUAGAUAAAAUAGAGACGAGACAUUAAGUGAAAAAUGUUAGUUGUUCGUUAGAUUAAACUACUACAGAAUCUUGGUGUCAAUCAACACAACAAGGCCAACAAAAAUAACGAGAUUAAAUAUUUGAAAUUAACAUUAAAUAAAAAAUAUUAAGAACUUAUAUUUAUUAUUUUAAAAGAUUUACAUUAUUUAUAACACAUAUAUUUUACUUGGGCAAACGGCAUUUUAAUAUUCAACGAUUUAAACGUAAAUAGAAGACAGGACAUUUUCAAUAUUUUUUUGCAAAGCAGAUUUGUUUCAUAUUCUUUUAACAACAAAAAACAGUUUUCGUUUCUCAAUUAAUUAUUAACAGUUCAAUACAUAAUAUUUUCGAAUU